rnacentral:rRNA from 1 species
CGUGUAGGCGGGAUGGUAUGUCGGGUGUGAAAGCCCUCGGCUCAACCGAGGAAAUGCAUCCGAAACUGCCAUUCUUGAGUACGGGAGAGGGAAGCGGAAUUUCCAGUGUAGAGGUGAAAUUCGUAGAUAUUGGAAAGAACAUCGGUGGCGAAGGCGGCUUCCUGGACCGACACUGACGCUGAGACGCGAAAGCGUGGGUAGCGAACA